GAGAAGAGAGCAGGACGGAGGAGGGAGGGAAAGAAGAGAACAGAGAAGAGAGCAGGACGGAGGAGGGAGGGAAAGAAGAGAACAGAGAAGAGAGCAGGACGGAGGAGGGAUUGGAUGAGAGAUAUGAGGGGAUAUGGGAGAGAUGAUAAGGAGAGAUAUGAGGGGAUAAGGAGAGAUAUGGGAGAGAUAUGAGGGGAUAAGGAGAGAUGAUAAGGAGAGAUAUGAGGGGAUAUGUGAGAGAUAUUAGGGGAUAUGGGAGAGAUAUGAGGGGAUAAGGAGAGAUGAUAAGGAGAGAUAUGGGAGAGAUAUGAGGGGACAUGGGAGAGAUGAUAAGGAGAUAUAUGAGGGGAUAUGGGAGAGAUGAUAAGGAGAGAUAUGAGGGGACAUGGGAGAGAUGAUAAGGAGAUAUAUGAGGGGAUAUGGGAGAGAUGAUAAGGAGAGAUAUGAGGGGACAUGGGAGAGAUGAUAAGGAGAGAUAUGAGAGGUUAGUUUAUCACCCCUAGGAUAGUAAAGGAGAGAUAUGAGAGGUUAGUUUAUCACUCCUAGGAUAGUAAAGGAGAGAUAUGAGAGGUUAGUUUAUCACUCCUAGGAUAGUAAAGGAGAGAUAUGAGAGGUUAGUUUAUCACUCCUAGGAUAGUAAAGGAGAGAUAUGAGAGGUUAGUUUAUCACCCCUAGGAUAGUAAAGGAGAGAUAUGAGAGGUUAGUUUAUCACCCCUAGGAUAGUAAAGGAGAGAUAUGAGAGGUUAGUUUAUCACUCCUAGGAUAGUAAAGGAGAGAUAUGAGAGGUUAGUUUAUCACUCCUAGGAUAGUAAAGGAGAGAUAUGAGAGGUUAGUUUAUCACUCCUAGGAUAGUAAAGGAGAGAUAUGAGAGGUUAGUUUAUCACUCCUAGGAUAGUAAAGGAGAGAUAUGAGAGGUUAGUUUAUCACUCCUAGGAUAGUAAAGGAGAGAUAUGAGAGGUUAGUUUAUCACUCCUAGGAUAGUAAAGGAGAGAUAUGAGAGGUUAGUUUAUCACUCCUAGGAUAGUAAAGGAGAGAUAUGAGAGGUUAGUUUAUCACCCCUAGGAUAGUAAAGGAGAGAUAUGAGAGGUUAGUUUAUCACUCCUAGGAUAGUAAAGGAGAGAUAUGAGAGGUUAGUUUAUCACUCCUAGGAUAGUAAAGGAGAGAUAUGAGAGGUUAGUUUAUCACUCCUAGGAUAGUAAAGGAGAGAUAUGAGAGGUUAGUUUAUCACUCCUAGGAUAGUAAAGGAGAGAUAUGAGAGGUUAGUUUAUCACUCCUAGGAUAGUAAAGGAGAGAUAUGAGAGGUUAGUUUAUCACUCCUAGGAUAGUAAAGGAGAGAUAUGAGAGGUUAGUUUAUCACUCCUAGGAUAGUAAAGGAGAGAUAUGAGAGGUUAGUUUAUCACUCCUAGGAUAGUAAAGGAGAGAUAUGAGAGGUUAGUUUAUCACCCCUAGGAUAGUAAAGGAGAGAUAUGAGAGGUUAGUUUAUCACUCCUAGGAUAGUAAAGGAGAGAUAUGAGAGGUUAGUUUAUCACUCCUAGGAUAGUAAAGGAGAGAUAUGAGAGGUUAGUUUAUCACCCCUAGGAUAGUAAAGGAGAGAUAUGAGAGGUUAGUUUAUCACUCCUAGGAUAGUAAAGGAGAGAUAUGAGAGGUUAGUUUAUCACUCCUAGGAUAGUAAAGGAGAGAUAUGAGAGGUUAGUUUAUCACUCCUAGGAUAGUAAAGGAGAGAUAUGAGAGGUUAGUUUAUCACUCCUAGGAUAGUAAAGGAGAGAUAUGAGAGGUUAGUUUAUCACCCCUAGGAUAGUAAAGGAGAGAUAUGAGAGGUUAGUUUAUCACUCCUAGGAUAGUAAAGGAGAGAUAUGAGAGGUUAGUUUAUCACUCCUAGGAUAGUAAAGGAGAGAUAUGAGAGGUUAGUUUAUCACUCCUAGGAUAGUAAAGGAGAGAUAUGAGAGGUUAGUUUAUCACUCCUAGGAUAGUAAAGGAGAGAUAUGAGAGGUUAGUUUAUCACUCCUAGGAUAGUAAAGGAGAGAUAUGAGAGGUUAGUUUAUCA